CCAUGGCGACCAGGCGCCUUGGGGUGGGGGAGACGCUGGGGGCCCUUAACGCGGCCCUGGGGCCAGGCGGUCCGGUGUGGAUCAAGGAGAAGCGCACCCGCCACCUGCGUUCCCGAGACUUUUUGGCACCGCAUCGCGCGCUGCAGGCGCGCUUCGAUGACGGCCAGGUGGGCGUGAGCCGGGAGGGGCCGUGCGGCCGGGAGAUGGGCCCCGGGCCGUGGCCCGCUUACACGCCCGUUCUCCCGCAGGUUCCGGAGCAUUUGCUCCAUGCCCUCGCCUGCCUGCAGGGCCCCGGUGUGGCCCCGGUGCUGCGCUGCGCGCCGACCCCCGCGGGUCUGUCUCUCCAACUGCAGCGGCCCGCUGUCUUCGAGCGCGUCCUCAGCGCCGUGGCCGCCUAUGCCACGCCCGCCUCGCCUGCCUCGCUGGGCCAGCGCGUCUUACUACACUGCCCAGCACUGCGCAGCUCCCCCUGCGCACUCCGCUUGAGCCAGCUGCGUACGGUGCUCGUGGCCGAUCAUCUGGCGCGAGCCCUGCGCGCUCACGGGGUGUGCGUGCGCCUAGUGCCAGCUGUGCGGGAUCCGCACAUGCUGACCUUCCUGCAGCAACUGCGGGUGGACUGGCCCGCUGCCUCGGAGAGAGCUUCCUCCCACACCCUGAGGAGCCACGCCCUUGAAGAACUUACCUCUGCUAAUGACGGGAGGACACUGUCCCCUGGCAUCCUAGGCAGACUGUGUCUGAAGGAGCUGGUGGAAGAACAGGGCCGCACAGCUGGCUAUGACCCCAACCUGGACAACUGUCUGGUGACGGAGGAUCUCCUCUCUGUGCUGGCUGAGCUGCAAGAGGCUCUAUGGCAUUGGCCCGAGAACAGCGACCCAGGCCUGGUUAGUGACUCCCAGCCCUGUAGGUUCUCCCAAACCAAGUAUACUGUACUUCCACAGUUAUGAUUGUCCUCCGUUAGGCUGGGGCCCCAGAUACUGGUACAGACGGCUGCCUGGUUGUACAUGUUGUUAGCUGUGAGGAGGAGUUCCAGCAACAGAAGUUGGACCUGCUUUGGCGGAAGUUGGUUGACAAGGCUCCACUCAGACAGAAGCACCUGAUCUGUGGCCCUGUGAAAGUAGCUGGUGCACCUGGCACUCUGAUGACUGCCCCUGAGUACUACAAGUUCCGACAUGCCCAGGUGUGCAAGGCCUCAGCACUGAAGCAUGGUGGGGAUCUGGCACAAGACCCAGCCUGGACAGAGAUCUUUGGUGUUCUCUCUGUGGCCACCAUCAAGUUUGAGAUGCUGAGCACAGCCCCACGGAGUCAGCUCUUCCUGGCUCUGGCUGACAGCAGUAUCUCCACGAAGGGCACAAAGAGUGGCACCUUUGUCAUGUAUAAUUGUGCCCGUCUUGCCACACUCUUUGAGAGUUACAAGUGUAGUAUGGAACAAGGUCUGUACCCCACUUUUCCUCCUGUGAGCAGUCUGGACUUCUCACUGCUACAUGAUGAGGUGAGUGUCCCUCCCGGUAGUUGGCACAAGGAGGCCUGGACUUCCCCUCCCAGUACCUUUCUCCCCCACAGGGUGAAUGGUUGUUGCUCUUCAACAGUAUCCUCCCCUUUCCGGAUCUGCUAAGCCAGACAGCAGUGCUGGACUGCACAGCCCCGGGGCUCCACAUUGCUGCACGCACAGAGAUGAUAUGCAAGUUCCUGGUACAGCUCAGCAUGGAUUUCAGCUCCUACUACAACCGGGUACACAUCCUGGGGGAGGCUCGACCACACCUCUUUGGUCAGAUGUUCGUCCGCCUGCAGCUUCUGAGGGCUGUGCGUGAGGUGCUCCAUACUGGCCUGGCUAUGCUGGGUCUCCCUCCACUGAGCCACAUCUAAGGCCACAGAGGCUCCAAUACUUGGGAAUGUUCACAAAGUCAUCAACUGGAAAAAAAGCAAAAACCCACGGCCAAAAUAAAUUGGUACUGUUACGAA
rnacentral:sRNA from 1 species